rnacentral:tRNA from 1 species
GGAUUGUGGCUCAGAGGUAGAGGGCUUGCCUACCAUGCAUGAGGCACAGGGUUCGAUCCUUAGCACCA